CUGCAACCUCUGCCUCUGGGUUCAAGUGAUUCUCCUGCCUCAGCCUCCUGAGGAGCUGGGAUUACAAGCGCCGGUCACCACGCCUAGCUAAUUUUUGUAUUUUAGGGAAGUGCCCGGGCCCUUCAGAUCUUUGAAACCUGCAAGGAUUUAUCUGGACUAACAUGUCUCCAUGUAGUCAUCGCAGUUUUAGGCUACUCUGAUUAAGGAUUUAGUGUAUUCAAAGGGUUUCAUACUUCCCCAGCUUCCAGUCCUUCUCACCACAACCCCAUGCCACCUGAACACCUCGGACUGGCUUUCCCAGGGUUUCGCUGCUGAACGUUCCACUCUGGCCCUUCACCUUACUUCACAGGAAAGGGCCAGAGCUGGGCUUUAUCCUUUUUGAGCACAUUCCACUGGUUUUUCUA
rnacentral:lncRNA from 1 species